ensembl:rRNA 5S_rRNA 5S ribosomal RNA
GUCUACGACCAUACCACCCUGAACUCGCCCGAUCUCGUCUUAUCUCGGAAGCUAAGCAGGAUUGGGCCUGGAUAGUACUUGGAUGGGAGACAGCCUGGGAAUACUAGGUGCAAUAGGCU